GGGGAUUUAGCUCAGUGGUAGAGCACUUGCCUAGCAAGCACAAGGCCCUGGGUUUGGUCCUCAGCUCCGGAAAAAAAAAAAAAAAAGGAGCACCACCACCUGAUCUGCCAGAGGUCCUGAGUUCAAUCCCCA
rnacentral:tRNA from 1 species